rnacentral:rRNA from 1 species
CGCAACGAGCGCAACCCUUGUUCUAUGUUGCCAGCGCGUAAUGGCGGGGACUCGUAGGAGACUGCCGGGGUCAACUCGGAGGAAGGUGGGGACGACGUCAAGUCAUCAUGCCCCUUAUGUCCAGGGCUGCAAACAUGCUACAAUGGCGAGUACAAAGGGUCGCGAUCCCGCGAGGGGGAGCUAAUCCCAUAAAGCUCGUCUCAGUUCGGAUCGGAGUCUGCAACUCGACUCCGUGAAGUUGGAGUCGCUAGUAAUCCCGGAUCAGCUACGCCGGGGUGAAUACGUUCCCGGGCCUUGUACACACCGCCCGUCACACCACGAAAGUCGGUAACACCCGAAGCCAGUGGCCCAACCGCAAGGAGGGAGCUGUCGAAGGUGGGACCAGCGAUCGGGGUGAAGUCGUAACAAGGUAGCCGUACCGGAAGGUGCGGCUGGAUCACCUCCUUUCUAGGGAGCUGACACUCGCUCGAGACCCCGUGCGUGGGUCGAGAGAUCGAGUCAGUGACCNAGUGGAUGCACUGCGCUACUGGCGCCUUCCUCGAGCUCGUCGUUCGUAGACCUUGGUCUCACGGCGAGCGAUUGUGAUGGCGUGUGUCU